CCUGCUCCCGGCCUCCCCCCCGCCCCUCGGCUGAGCCUUUGUUUCAGAGCCCUUUGUUUUAUUUUAUUAUUUUGCGCAAGACCGAGGUGCCCCCGGGGAGGGGGGAACCGGCUCGAGGAGGUGCAAAUCGCGGCAAUAAACAUGUGUCCGGGCUGGUAGCGAUGGUGGUAGGAAAAUAUUCCCGUCCUCCCCCUCCCUGGCUGAGGAAACGCAUCCCCCCCCCGUCCUCCGCCGCUUCUCGGCUCUCUGUAUGGACAUCACGAGCCGUCUCGGUGGAAGGAAAAAAAAAAAAAAUCUGCUUUUUCCCUCGGAUCAGCGUGCGCGCUGCGUGGCAAGGUGCGGGUGGGAGGGGGCAGGCAGCGCCAGCCCUGCUGCCCCGUCCGCCCCCCCCCGCCGCGCACACGCGUGCAGCUGAAACCCGCGCGUUCGCAGGCGCAGCGUUAGGCCGGGGGCUCGGGGCUAGCCGGGCCCCCCGGGAGGCGACCUGCAGGCGGGCGAGCAGCGGCGGCGUCGCCCGGCGAGAGGCGGUACGGCGCUUGCAGCACCCGCCGGCGGCGGCACCGUGCGGCUCCCCAGGGCGCUGCGCGUAUGGCCCGCACAGGGCGGGCGGCCGUGCCUGUGCCCUGCCGCGGACGCCGUCGGUUUUGCCCGUGGUGUCCCGCCCGGAAGGGUUUUGCCCUCUCGCAGGCUCCUCCCGAAGCGCCGAUGCGAAGAGCCCGCGUAAAUCUGCCGCUCUGGCGGCGGUGUGUCCCGCAAGCUCUUGCGAGGGGCUCGGCGGUGGCGGAGACACGGCUCCCCUGGCGUCACGUCGGUUCGCUCCUGUCGGCACUUUUUAGCUAUUUUUAUAUGAAGGAAUUGUGGUGAUUUGCUUUUAGUGAUGAUCUGGCCUUUUUUUUCCCCCUUUUUUUUAGUGGGGGAGGGAAAAGAAGGGGUGGAGGGAGGAUGCUAUUGUUAGUGCAGAAAGAAAGCCCGGUGUUCCUUGGAACUGUAGUUGCUGUUAAAUAUGUAGGCAUAUGUAUGAUUCAUUAUGCAGUUAUAAAAACGAAGGCACGCCAGAUUGCCGCUUCGCCUCAAAAUAUACUUUCUUUUACAGCAACAAGUAGUACAGGCUUCUCUCCCCGCUCUUCUCUCCCCCUCCCGCCUUCAGCUCAUGCUGACAAAAUGCCAGUAAGAAAGGUCAGUCUGUUUAUGUAAAGAUCACUGUGUUUCUUAGCAAAGACUGCUGCACAUCAUGCCUGCAAUGACUAUCAAAUAGACUUUGGGAGCUGAGAUAUUCAAUAAGAGUACUGUCCAUUUUCCGGGACUGAUAAAACCCCAGAGAAAAUGCAAGACAAAAACAGCCGCACGGCUUUGUGAAUGGGAGAGCCGGGAUGGGCAUGUGCAGCAAGAUCUUUACCUCGCAACAGUGUUUGUUACUGCAGAUGCUAGCUAGAUCCAAUGCAACUUUUUUUUUCUUUAAUACAAAGAGCCUUGCUGAUAAACUAAUGCUUUUCUGCUCUUCUCUUUAGGUUUCAUGCUAGCCCUAAUGAUGUCCUAGGCUGGACUUGUUCUGCAGCCGCUUCACACCGAAGAUAGAUUAAAUCACCCAAGGGGAAUUUCAUUUUGAGUUUGAUCAACUCUUCCCCUACCCCCAUCCCACCCCAAAAAAGAGAUGUUUCUAUUGGCUUUGGCUUAUACCCUACAUAAUUAGGCUGAGUUUUCAUUUCAUAGCAUCUCAAGGUGCAGUGCACACAGCCUGCUCUAUAUUUCACAGUGCUCCCUUUCCCUUCCUGCCAACUACCUUAAUCUAGAAAAAAGUGCAGCUUUGUUUUCUCAGCUAGUAUCACCUCUUCUGACCUUUUUCCUCCUUUAAAUUUAAUGAGGAUAUUCUGAUAUAGUUCACCACCAUAUAUAUAUUCCAUACCUAAAGGGAGGAAAAAAAAAAGUUAUCAUGGCGUUAACACGUAUCUUCCAUUGUGGCCAACUCCAAGAAUUAAUUGGCACCACGGUUCCAUUUUAGCCCUUAAAAUAGUCCUUAAGCAGAAUUUAAGUGUUGCAGAGGACUUUUUCAGGCCUUUUGUUCAACGGUGUUAACAAUCCAUGACCCUAAUAUAAAUAUUAUGAAAUAUCAUCCUAGUGCAGAAUACCGAAACUGCAAGCAAUGGUUCAAGAUCAGAUAACACCCAUUGAAAAUCCUAAAUUCAAGCUGGGGAGCCAGUCUCAACUGAGGAGCUGCAUAGCAUCACACGAGAGGCACAUCACAUCAGCCAGUGGCCUGGUGGCCCUCAAUUGCAGAUCAUUAGAUCCUGUAAAUCCACAUUAAAGAGUGGUGUGUAUCUGCGUGAGUCAAUGCACACCAUAGCAGGGUGCCCGUAACAAUUUUUGGACUUUGGGUAAUCAACCGUUGACGCCCUUUCCUCCAGAACCUGCUGCAUGUUUCCUUUUAGCUAUGGGAAUGGCACGCAAUUUAUUACACCAGUUCAGCAGGUACCCUUAGUCUGCAGCUUGCAAACCUAUUAUGCAAACAAUAUUGUCACCUUCUUAAAGCGCCCUGCUCCUGGCGAUCACGAAUUCUCCGCAUGCCACUCUGCUGUAAAUUCUCCAUGUAAAAUUUCCAUCCACUUCAUGUCUUCUCAGGGGAAACUGCACUUGACUUCCAAAACAGCUGGGAGGGGCAAAUUGAUAACCUCUUAGCGUGCCUUGCCCUUAACUGAAAUUAUGACAAAGUAAUUAAAGUUAAAGCAAAAAGGCUUAAACUCUGGACCGCUUAUGUUAUUAGUGUUUUUGCAUGAGUGAGAUCUCUUUGGAAGUCUGAUCUGAAUGUCAAAUUUGCAUAUGAAGCUAGGAAACGUAGGGAAUGCUUAAUUGCUGUCUGUGUCCAGAGUUCAGAUUUUGCUUUGAAAACAAUGCAUCACCUAUUCCUGGGUUUUGCUUCUGGUUACUGUUUGAGUGCUUCCAUAAAUUGAACGGAGCAUCUAAAUAAGUCCUGUGCUUGCUCACUAUAGAAACAAGCAUUCUGUAUUUAGAAUUUUAUUUCAUACAUGCAUUUUGAGCCAUACGGUUUUGCUUUAGCAGAGAUAUGAUUCACUUGAAUAAAAUUAUAUCCACCAACUUUUUCUCUUCUUGCAGAGGAGUUUCUUUUUAGGAUUCCCCAGCGUUUGACUUACAGGGAAUUAACAGGCUAUUGCUGUCAUUAAAGCCCCAGUCUUCAGACUCUUCACCUCUGUGAAGAGACUGAGGGUAUAUCCCCACUCCUUCCAGAAUAUGGUAAUUUCAGGACCUGAGAACACACACAGAAAUCAGCUGUGCACAGAAAUAUGGAGGCUUUGGAGGACUCCUUUUGCUCCGUGAUUAUGCUGCAAAACGUGCAUGGGAUUGGCGAGCCCAGUAGGGGUUAGAUAGAGCCCCUGCUGGAGGUGGAUAAUACUAUUUAUUGGUAUUUGAUAUCUUAAGUGAAGCUCAACACUUAGGUAACGCAGGUGGUGAUUUGCUUGGGGACCAAAACAGCUUUAGCACCCGUUAGUAACAGCCAGCGUAUGCCGUGUGACGAAGCUGUGGUUUUGCAGCUAAACUCUCCCAGUUGCCGCGGUUGGGGAUAGACUGUGCCUCCAUCCUCCACUUAUGCACACAGCUGAUAAGUAUGACCGAAGGAUCUUAUCGUUGCCUUAGUCCCUCAUUCCCAUUGCCUGCUAUUAUCUCCUAUGCUUACUUGUUAUGCGUUGAUCCCAGUGAGGUUGGGAUUUUUUAUUUUUUAGUGGUUAAGAGCUCUGCCUUAUUGUACGCUUGCAAGGCAGCCUCAGCGGGGCUCCCAUGCCGCCCAGUUGUGUCGUGCUGGCCCCACAGAAGGAGAAGGGGUGCUGAUACUUUUUUCCCUAGUUGCUUUCAGAUUAGACGCAAUCCAAAACAUCUCUCUGUUCCUGGAUCUUUCACAUCCUCCCUGUCCUGCCUUGCAGGUUUGUUGGCUAAUUAAAGUCAGCUUGCUGACUAACCACUUCACUAGAUCUGAGAAAAUUUGCUCCAAUUCAUCCUUCUCUUUCUACAUGCCAUUUUCUGAAGAAAUUCAUCAGUCUAGUUCAGGUUCAGUCAUAAAUAUAUUCUCUGGACUGCACAGAAACUGCAUAUAAUGACGCCAUUACCUAAAUGUUGACUCAGAUCUUCUAAUCCUUCCAGUAUGUCUCAUCCAUACAAUACAAAGCCCAUCUCAUUUUCAAAUGUCUACAAGGAGAUGAACUUAGCAAAAGGCAAGGAUUCUCAGCAGAUCUUUUUUUUUUUUUUUUUUUUUUUUUCCUUUUCCAAAUGCUAAAUGCUUCAUUAGAAUAGCAGGAUAAAACCCUUUCAAAUAUUUUUAAAUAUCUCAUUCUUUCAGCACUGUGGAUCAUUUAUCUGAUAUGUUUGUAUGUAGCUGGUCUUUUUAUAGUGCAAGGUACCAUAAGCAUCAGUUGAUAAUAAGGUUCCUAAUAAAGAAAGAAAUACUUCAUGUUUGUCACAGGUGAUUAUGGUGCACUUUGCAAUGGCUUAGUUAAACAAUUUCUCUUCCUAUAGGGCUGUAAAGUGGGCAAGCAGCAAAGACAAAUUCUUGUGCAAAGUUUGCCAAUGUAUCCACAGUUUACAACAGUUCUGGGAGUAUUUUCCAUUCUCAAAUCAGCAAUUGGAACAAUGAAGUCAUUUUGAGUUAUGCGGUUUCUUAAUGUGCUCUUUGCACAGCAAUUACUGUAUCGUCACCUGCAACAUAUUGCAGGGCUGGAAAAUUAAAACAAUUAUCCUAGCAA